AUGCUGUGUUUAGUUCAUAAGAAUGGAGAAAGAAGAAGGGUAAAUCUAUUUUGGGAGCAUUAAGAGAUUCAAAUUGGUUGUUUAUGGGGGUUGGGGUAUUGAUGACAAUGGCAAUCUUGUAAUUACCUGAAGAUGAUGAGGGUGAAAGAGUAAAAAUGCCAUUUUCGAAAGAAAAAAAAUAUGAUGGUAUUUUCGUAAAUUAUAUGAACUUGUGGGGUGAAUAGGGCAAAACUAAUUUCCAAAAAAAAGAGAGGUUAGUUUUGUGUUUGACUUUGAGUUCUAGGUCAAUUUUGCAAAAAGCCAUAUAAUAAAUACUCAUAACAAAGUAAAAUAACUACAUUACUUAGAAAUAUUUUAAUGGUGAAACAAGUAUACACUAUUUCGAAAAAUAAAAAAUUAAAACUAAAACAAAAAAUAGUAAGAAAUUUAAACAAAAAUAAAUUAAGCAUUACAAAAUUUUCAUUAAAUUUAUGUAUAUUUAUAUUAUUUUAUGCAUAUAAUUACUCGCUAGUAAGGCAGGUUUAGUCAUUGUAAAUAUAUAUAACACCACUAAAUAAAAGCAAAAUAUAUCAUCAUUCAAACUAUCUGAAUAGUGUAUUACGCCGCAACGAAACUGAGACAGAAAAUGAAUCUCUUUAUAACAAACAAGUUCAAUGGAAAGGAACAGUAAAAAUUAAGAAGAGAAAUAACAAAAAUAAUGAUUUACACAUAAUAAAAAACCAAACAUUUUAAGGUAAAAACAAGGGUUGCCUGCCUAUUCCCCCCUCAAACACAUUUACCCUACUUAUUCCCCCCCAAACUAUUAAGCUCUUCAUAAAUCCACCCAAACAUAAACUUUCUCUUUAAAUCUCCCCCUAAACUCUUUUUACCUCCCUCUCUAAUCAAUUUCGAAAUCAAAAUUAAAAGAAUUAAAAGUGCGUUUAGAAAACAGUGAUUGCCCAAUUUAAGAAAACCAGACCCGAUCCGGCGUUUGAAAACCCGACCCAGACUUAACUUAAAAACAAAAACAAAUUGGAGAUUUAAUUAAAAUCAGAAUCAAAUUGGGGCUUCGUGUUUUUUUUUUUUUUUUUGCCCCAACACAGAACAACGACUGAAGAGACGAAUUGGGGAUACUGAAAUUAGGGUUUGUCGCAGUGCUCAUGACACAAACGAAGAAGAUGUCAGAGAAAGAGAAGAGAAUCCAGAGGAGAGAGAGACAGUGAGGAACGACGAUGUUGAAGGGGCUGUUGUUGUUAAUGUAUUUGUACUCAUGUUUGGUUUUGUGGCAGGGCAGGUUCUUCUCAUGUCCAUGAAGAGAUCAGACUUACACAACCUACUCAAUCUAUUCAAGCUCAUGACUAGUAGUUCUUUUGUUGUAGUUUAAAACUCAAAACUUCCUUUUUAAUGUCCUUUGUGGCUUUUGUUGUUCUUUAAAACUCUUGGUCGAAUGUACUUGGUGUCUUUUCUUGUGGUUAAAACUUGUCCUACAUAAGAACUUCAACAGAAAACAGUAGAAGAAAAAGACAUCUCAAAAUUAAGAGACAUAGAAAAAAAA
rnacentral:lncRNA from 1 species